AUACGUAGGUGGCAAGCGUUGUCCGGAUUUACUGGGUGUAAAGGGCGAGUAGGCGGAUCAUCAAGUCAGAUGUGAAAUGCGGAGGCUUAACCUCCGAGCUGCAUUUGAAACUGGCGAUCUUGAGUGAUGGAGAGGCAGGUGGAAUUCCUGGUGUAGCGGAGAAAUGCGUAGAGAUCGGGAGGAAGACCGGUGGGGAAGGGGUCGCUCUGGAACGUUCCUGACACUGAGGAACGAAGGCGUGGGGAGCAAGCAGGAUUAGAUUCCCUGGUAGUCCACGCCCAAAACGAUGGGUACUAAGGGUCGGCGGUUUACCGCCGGUGCCGCACCUAACGGAGUAAGUACCCCGCCUGGGGAGUACGGCCGCAAGGUUGAAACUCAAAUGAAUUGACGG
rnacentral:rRNA from 1 species